CAGCCGUAAACAAUGUGCGUUAGGUGUGUCGGUAACCACGCGUUACUGAUGCGCCGAAGAGAAAUCGUGAAACGCACCACCUGGGAGGUACGGUCGCAAGGCUGAAACUUAAAGGAAUUGGCGGGGGAGCACCACAACAGGUGGAGCCUGCGGUUUAAUUGGAUUCAACGCCGGACAUCUCACCGGAUAAGACAGCUGAAUGAUUGUCAAUCUGAAGGUUUUACAUGACUAGCUGAGAGGUGGUGCAUGGGCGUCAGUGACU
rnacentral:rRNA from 1 species